rnacentral:rRNA from 1 species
AUUGAACGCUGGCGGCAGGCCUAACACAUGCAGGUCGAGCGGAUGAAGGGAGCUUGCUCCUGGAUUCAGCGGCGGACGGGUGAGUAAUGCCUAGGAAUCUGCCUGGUAGUGGGGGAUAACGUCCGGAAACGGGCGCUAAUACCGCAUACGUCCUGAGGGAGAAAGUGGGGGAUCUUCGGACCUCACGCUAUCAGAUGAGCCUAGGUCGGAUUAGCUAGUUGGUGGGGUAAAGGCCUACCAAGGCGACGAUCCGUAACUGGUCUGAGAGGAUGAUCAGUCACACUGGAACUGAGACACGGUCCAGACUCCUACGGGAGGCAGCAGUGGGGAAUAUUGGACAAUGGGCGAAAGCCUGAUCCAGCCAUGCCGCGUGUGUGAAGAAGGUCUUCGGAUUGUAAAGCACUUAAAGUUGGGAGGAAGGGCAGUAAGUUAAUACCUUGCUGUUUUGACGUUACCAACAGAAUAAGCACCGGCUAACUUCGU